ACCUAAACCGGAUUGACGGGGAAAGCGCCCAAUUUUUCAUUGGGCCUUGAACCAAAAAGCCGGACUAACU
rnacentral:sRNA from 1 species